UCCGAGUGGGCAUCUGGCAGGCACAGUGGCCUGCAGAGACUCGAGGUGUGGAGGGCAGCGCCAGGGAGGAAUGAGCAUGUCUUGGGACCCCACAGCCAGGCGCCAUCACCGCCUAUCGCUGCUCCUGGUGCUCGUGCUGCUGUCACGAGCCGGGGCUCUGUGUCCUGUUGAGCUCUUUCCUUACGGGGAGUUGUGGGGAGAUCGGCUGCCACCGGAGGGCGACGUUGAAAGCUCCCCGGCUGUGAAGUUAGCAAUACCUCUAUGCUUCUAUGGUGUCCAGUUCAGCAACCUCUAUGUGGGCACCAAUGGCAUCAUCUCCACCCAGGACUUACCCAGGGAGACUUAAUAUGUCAUUGAUGAUUUACCUACUGACUUCCCAGCCAUCGCCCCAUUCCUGGCUGACAUCCACUCUAGUCACAGCAGUGGCUGGAUCCUGUAUGGAGGACACCUCCUGGGCUGUGCUGAGUCUGGCUGCUUGCUACCUGUGCACAGGCUUCCCGCUGACCGGGUCCAGCUUCCCCACUACCCACUUCUUCCUGGCCACCUGGGAGCAAGUGGGCGCCUAGGAGGAGGACUUGGGGCUGCAUCGUCUGGAGAGUGAUUCCUGAAGACACUAUCCUUAACCCUUUGUGCAUUUUCAACUCUCCGAUAUGGAGACUUCGAUGAUUUUAAUCUAGAGGAUGUGCUGAAAGAAACUUCCUCAGUAAAGCGUGACUCAAACAAACAAGUCCACCAAGCAGACACUGUGGUCGGCCGUGCACCACAGUCACAAUCUUGCCUUCAGAAAAGUACACGCAUAUGAGACUAGCUGUACCUCCAGAUACCUGUUUGUUCUGUUGUGCAAGGCUUGUGUCGUCUCGUCAUACGUGUGUCAUCUUCCUUUUUCAUUCAGUCUAUGUCGAGUCCAUGAGAGAACAUGCAUCUGCCUUCGCCUUUUUCUGCUGUACAAAAAGAGAACUCCGACCCAUUUCAUACCCCUCACUGUUUUGUUUUGAGACAGGGUCUCUUGAUUUAGCCCGAGUUGUCCUGAAAUUCUCUGUGCCGACAAGGCCAGCUUUGACUUGGGUCCAGUGCUAGAGCAACAGUGACUCUUAGCCACUGAUGUGCAUUUCUAGCUUCAGAACCCAUGACUUUUUAUGAUUCUUCAGUGUGAUCCCCACAAUGGCCUUGGGGACCGAUACCGAGACCAUUCUCACGAUGUGACUUCUAUAAACCAUAAAGCAGCCACUGUGUUUUACAAUCUGCUUCCUUUCAUCCUCCCUUCUCCCUUCAAAGAGCCACUUUAGCACCACGACUAGGAGGACAGGAACAACCAGAGCCCCAUCAAAUCCAGCAGGUAACGAGGUGUGGGAAGUGAGGAAGGCCAGACUCACCUGAGAAGGGACACAAGGAGGGACUCGUUGGGACUCCAUCUGGGACAGGGUCAAAAGGAGCCGUGUAGAAUUUUUAGCUGCACAUAUGAAAAGUCAGCAAAGGCACCCAUGUGAAUGUUAGAUUUAAUUCAACAGAAUCCCAUCUGGUUGGUCACUGUGCCUUACGUGAAAGCCAUGCAUUUCCACUUCCCUAUUGCUUUGGGUAACGAUAGCUGCCAGAAUCCAGGUACAGGAGGCAGAAGGGGUGAGCUGAACUUGACUUAAGCCCCAGCCUAUCCCCAUAGCUCCCAGGUUAAACAUGAGCCAUUCAUAGUCGAGCAGAGUAGGGCAACCUGAGGCCUAAGGAGAAGUCUUCAAUGAAGAUAUUCAGACGUUUUCUUGAAAUUCUCUAAGUUUUUGAAGAUCUCGGGAGAGUUUGUGUAUGUGAGUCACAUCUAUAAAUACUUUUCAUCUGAGAACUUAGAACUAAAAACUGAUAUUAAUCUGAGGAAAAUAAAAAAUCAUAUGCAUUGACAUAUGUGGUGGGUUUUUAUGAGAAAUAACUGUGCUUAUAAGGUGAGAACAUAAUUUAGAGUAAUGAAUGACAUUAUUUUAUAGUUUUCUGUAAUGUCUGGCUUCAAUAGAAUGCAUCUGGAUUCUGUGUGUGUGUGUGUGUGUGUGUGUGUGUGUGUGUGUGUGUGUGUGUGUGCGAGCAUGCUCGUGUGUACAUGUCUGCGUGUAUGUGUGUGUUUGUGUGUGUGCGUGCCUGUCUCUGUGUGUGUAUGUAUGUGUAUGUGUGUGCAUGUCUGUGUGUGUGUAUGUGUAUGUGUGUAUGUGUGUGUCUGUGUGUGUAUGUUUGUGUGUGUGUGUGUGUGUGGUACUGUGAGACAGACUUGGAAUCACUAUGUAGACCACACUUUACUAGACAGACCAGACUGGCCUCAAAUUCACAGAGAUCUAUCUACCUGCCUCUACCUCCCCACCCCCCAACCCCUGUGCUGGGAUUACAGAUGUGUGUUACCACUCCACCUGGAUUUUUAAUAUCUGCAACUGGACUGAGCAGUUAUAAAUUCCUGAGGUUCAAUACAACAUGCGGAGAAAAUCCAGGCUCAUGCAGAAUUGUAGGAGAAAAGGGGAAAGAACUUCUUUAGUAUUUUCUUAUUUAUUUAUUUACUCCCUUUUUGUCCCAAUUGCUGCCAGUUUCCCUGCUCCCUUACACAGUCUCUUCCUCUAUCUUUCCCCUUCUCCUCAAAGAGGGUGGAGCCCCCAGGGUACCCACCCCCACUCAACAUCCCCCACACCUAGCUGGCACAUCUAGCCUCUGUGGGGCUGCAUUCAUACUCUUCCACUGAGGCUAGUAAGGUAGCCCAGCCAGGGAAACAGGAUUCACAGGCAGGCAACAGCUUUAGGGACAGCCCCUGCUCCAGUUGUUUGGGGACCCACAUGACCAAGCUGCAUAUCUGCUACAUAUGUGUGGGGACCUAGGGCCAGAUGUGCAUGCUCCCUGGUUGGCAGUUUCAGACCCUGAGAGCUCCAAGGGUCCAGGAUAGUUGACUCUGUUCAUGGUCCUUUGGAGUCUGUAACCUCUUCUGGUCCUUCAGUCCUUCCUCCAGCUCUUCCAUUGGACUCUCCUAUUCUUUGAAUGAAUCAUUCACAGUUUGCUAGCGCUGUGCACUGGUCACUUGGAAACACUGAUACCCCAACCAAUGCACAAUGUAAUAUAUUACAGAAUCACACCGAUUCCUGUUGCCCCCAUCUCAUUGAACAAAGCGUUCAGUAAGUCAUACGGGGUGGCACAACCUGUAAUCCCAGCACUGUGGAGGCAGAGGCGGGGAGAAUACCCAAAGUUUGAGGAUAAUCCUGUUCUGUAUUGCAAGUUCCAGGGUACUCAGGGUUACAACAGCAAGAUCUCUUGUCCAAAAACAAAUAAACAAAUAAAUGAUGAGUAAAACAAUGAUUUAAAAAACCAUCUAGAUAUUGAAAGCUGCUCAUAUCACAGCCAUCAGCAAGUUUUUGGGAAACUCUGUCUUUUAAAUUCCAAGUUUCGUUACUGGCAGCAGAUAUGAUCAGGGAGGCUACAGGGAUAGUUCAGUGGUGCAGAGCACUAGUGCCUGUGUGGCAGCAUUCCUCUUGGAGGCUCUGCAGGGGAGUGAUUUCUCUCCUUUUGCCAUCUACAUUCUUUGGCUUAUGACCACUUCUUUCAUCUUCAAAACCGUGGAUAUGCCAGUGUUUCCUUUUUCAGUUUGUCUAUUUUUCCGUAUCUGUAGCCCAGGCUGAUUUGAAACUUGUUAUAUAAUUCAGGCUGCCCUCCAAGUCCUCCUCCUCCUGAGUCUGCCUGUCAGAUUCUGUGAUCAUAAGUGGGCACCACCACACUUGGUUCUUGUGGAUCUUCUGUGCAUACAGUCCUGUCACCUACAGACCGUUUUCAAUAUCCUUUCCUCAUUCUUGCUAGGACUGCUGGUACUGCAUUGAAUAGAAUUGGUAGAUUGGACACGGUUGUCUUGUUCCUCAGGUUAGAAGGAAAUCUUUCAGUGUUUCCCCCCUUGACUAUGUACCCUGGUCCCUCAUCCUGUGUGGUCCUCAUUCCGUUGGGUGACAUUGCUUUCAUCUUAGUUACUCUUCUAGUUGCUGUAAGAAAACACCAGGGUGGAAGCCGCUUAAGGGAGAGUUAUUUUUGCCCAGUUUGAGCGAUGAUGGCGUACACUCAGCUCACUCCAUCACCUGUGUACAGGCUAGGAUCUCAGACCGAAGAACCAUGUCAUCUGCUGUAGGUUCUUCUUUUCAACACAGUUUACCGAGUCAAGAUGAUCUCAUACCAUAUUGCUGGAGGCCUCUCUCUCAGGAGGUUCUAGAACUCAUUGAGUUGACAAUUCCCGCUAACCACUCUAGCUUCUAUGGCUGAUAUGUGGAAUUGUCAUCAAAAAGAUGUUAAAUUUUGUCAAUUUCUCUUUCUAUACUUACUGACAUGAUCACAUGCUUUUAUGCUUCAUACUUUUAAUGUUUAAUGAUUUAAUUUAUGUUGAGCAAUCCUGUGUCCCGGGCAUGAAUCCAGUUUUGAUUAUAGGGUGCAAUCUUUUAAAUGUGCUGUUCAUUCUCUUUGCUAAUGUAAUGUUUCCUUGAUUUUUGCCUCUAUUCAUAUAGUUUUGCUUGUUUUUGGCGUUCUCGCCUGGCUUCCCGUGAGGGUCAUGCUGCUCUGAUGAAGCGAAUUUGGAAUUAUUUCCUCCUCUUUAGAUCUUCAAAGAUUUGAGAAGGAUUAGCUUUAACUUUUCUUUGAAUUCAUUUUUAUAGCCUUCUCUUACCUGGAUAUUUCUUUGUUGGGAGGUUGUUAAUUAUUCUAAUUAUCAUUCAUCCAUUUAUAUUUUGAUUUUUCAUAAUCACCUUAAUAGUUUGUGUGCUUCUAGAACUCUAUCCAUUUCCUCUAGCGUGUCUGAUUUGUUGGAAUAUAUUGUCCAUUGUAGUUUCCUUUGUACCUAUUUAGUAUUAGUUGCAAUGCCUCCUCUCCCAUUCAUAAUUUUGAGUCAUUAGAACAAGUUUUGAAUCUUGUUUUCUUUUCUCAAAAAGCCAACUCCAGAUUUCCUUUCUUUCCUCUCCUUCCUCUUGUUUUUCCCCGCUUGUUCUGAGGAAAAACCUAGGACCUCUAUGUAAAUGCAUGCUUGCUUCUGAGCUACCCCACCAGCCCACAAGAACCUUAGCUCCAUUAAAGCUUCCUGAUGGAUUUCUUGUCUAGAAUUUUUGUCCUCCCUCCUUUCUAUACAUCCUAUUCCUGUGCCACUUCUUCCUCUUCCUCCCUCUUUUGAGACUGAAUCUUACUAUCUUGGCAAGCAGUCCUGGCUGGAUCUCAAAUGCUAGGUCCUCCUACCUCAGCUUUCUAGAUGCUGGCCGUGCACCAGGUGGUCUGCUCUUUCCAGCUUCGUAACUUUUCCUCUUAUGGGCCGUGUUUCUGUAGUUGAAUAUGUGAACUCUUUACUAAGCAUUCAAUUCUGAAACACUUCUUUUUGAAAAUUUAAUGGUUUACUAUUUAAGCAAAGAGAACCUAUCCAUUUGCAGUUAGUUUUAUAUAAAAUGAAACCCAUUGCUUUUUGUUUUGGAAGUUUAAUUAUUCCAGCACCUUUUGCUGAAAAGAUUUCUUCCUCCCUUGAGUUGCUUUGCAUAUGUAUAAAAAAAUCACUUGAGCAGAUCUGAGGUCUUUUGAGCUCUUCAUUCUGUUCUGUUGCCUGUAUCUAUCUAUCUGCCACAUCUUUGAUAAAUGUUAACUAUGAAAUAUUAGGUAGAGUGAUUCAUCCCACUUUAUUCUUUUUAAGGUUUAAAAAAGACAAUCUUAGGUUGUGCCUUCCCCAAAAAGUUUAGAUCAAAUUUGACUAUUUCUGGAAAGAAACAAUCAGUGGGACUUCUAUAGGCUUUCAUUUAACAUAGAUGGUGUGGGAGCUGAUGUUGCCAAUCUGGUGUGUUUUCUGGUGUGUGUCUUUAUUUGGAUCCUCUUGGUUUUAUACCUUUAGGUUUACUUUACGUUUAUAGUAAUUUCCCUCACCUCUGCUUUAAAUACUUUGCUUUCUGAGACACUGCUGAAAUUAGUUCAAUAGCAUCGAUAUGUAAUAGUGAUGACAAGGCAGCGUCCAAUCCAUCACUUACAAAAUGCCAUAGUAGUUCUCCUUUACUCUUAACCUGGGCCCCAUGUGACCCCACUGCUCACGUUGGAGUGACACGCAGGAAGCACAGAGACAGAGACAGGAAGUGGACUAGUAAAACUUACAUGUCACCUUCUAGUGACGUAUUCCCAACAAUUGGCCUGUAGGGUCAUUUCACGUUUGACUACAACACCCAUUUGUUUGUUCUGUG